rnacentral:rRNA from 1 species
GCUUAACACAUGCAAGUCGAGCGCCCUGCUUGCAGGGAGCGGCAGACGGGUGAGUAACGCGUGGGAACAUACCUUUCGGUUCGGAAUAGCCCCGGGAAACUGGGUGUAAUACCGAAUACGUCCUUAGGGAGAAAGAUUUAUCGCCGAAAGAUUGGCCCGCGUUAGAUUAGAUAGUUGGUGAGGUAACGGCUCACCAAGUCGACGAUCUAUAGCUGGUUUGAGAGGAUGAUCAGCCACACUGGGACUGAGAC